UUUCCGUAGGUGAACCUGCGGAGGGAUCAUUACCAGAGAUGGCGGGCCUCCGUGCCACCGUCCCCAACCCAUUGUUGACCAAAACCUUUUUGCCUCGGGGGCAGAGCGUCCGCCGCCGCCCCCGGAGGACCACCGAACGCUGGCACUAUACGGCGGAGUAUUGAUUAAAUGAAUGAAAACUUUCAACAACGGAUCUCUUGGUUCUG
rnacentral:misc_RNA from 1 species